rnacentral:rRNA from 1 species
AACUUUCAGCAACGGAUCUCUUGGCUCUCGCAUCGAUGAAGAACGCAGCGAAAUGCGAUAAGUAAUGUGAAUUGCAGAAUUCAGUGAAUCAUCGAAUCUUUGAACGCACCUUGCRCUCCUUGGUAUUCCGAGGAGCAUGCCUGUUUGAGUGUCG